rnacentral:rRNA from 1 species
GAUGGACGCUGGCGGCGUGCCUAACACAUGCAAGUCGAACGAAGCACUUUAGCUUGAUUCUUCGGAUGAAGGCUAUUGUGACUGAGUGGCGGACGGGUGAGUAACGCGUGGGUAACCUGCCUCAUACAGGGGGAUAACAGUUAGAAAUGACUGCUAAUACCGCAUAAGACCACGGAGUCGCAUGACUCAGUGGGAAAAACUCUGGUGGUAUGAGAUGGACCCGCGUCUGAUUAGGUAGUUGGUGGGGUAACGGCCUACCAAGCCGACGAUCAGUAGCCGACCUGAGAGGGUGACCGGCCACAUUGGGACUGAGACACGGCCCAAACUCCUACGGGAGGCAGCAGUGGGGAAUAUUGCACAAUGGGGGAAACCCUGAUGCAGCGACGCCGCGUGAGCGAAGAAGUAUUUCGGUAUGUAAAGCUCUAUCAGCAGGGAAGAAAAUGACGGUACCUGACUAAGAAGCCCCGGCUAACUACGUGCCAGCAGCCGCAGUAA